UCAUAUGCUUGUCUCAAAGGCUAAGCCAUGCAMGUGUAAGCACAGGCCUCCACACGGUGAAGCUGCGAAUGGCUCAUUAGAUCGGCUACAAUUUAUUGGAUCAUACGCGGUUAUUUGGAUAACUGUGGUAAUUCUAGAGCUAAUACAUGCAACGUGCCCCGACCUGCCUGGCAGGGAGGGGCGAGUUUAUUAGAUCAAAACCAACCGGCCCGCGAGGGCCGAGCCCGUUGGUGACUCAGGAUAACUUUGGUCUGAUCGCACGGCCCUGGCGCCGGCGACGUAUCUUUCAAGUGUCCGCCCUAUCAAGUUCCGUAUGUAGGUGCCCUGCCUACAUAGCUGGCGACGGGUGACGGGGAAUCAGGGUUCGAUUCCGGAGAGGGAGCCUGAGAAACGGCUACCACAUCCACGGAAGGCAGCAGGCGCGCAAAUUACCCACUCCUGACACGGGGAGGUAGUGACGAAAAAUAUCAAUGCGGGACUCAAAYGAGGCCCCGYRAUUGGAAUGAGUACACUUUAAAUCCUUKAACGAGGAUCUAUUGGAGGGCAAGCUUGGUGCCAGCAGCCGAGGUAAUUCCAGCUCCAAUAGCGUAUGUCAAAGUUGUUGCAGUUAAAAAGCUCGUAGUUGGAUCUCGGGGGCCGGCGGGCGGUGCGCCGUUCGCGGCGUAAACCUGCCUGUGUUCCCGGCCCCCAUNUGCCGGUGCGCCGUCCGUGCCUUUGACUGGGGUGCGGCGCGGCGGCCGGGACGUUUACUUUUAAAAAAUUAGAGUGCUCAAGGCAGGCGGCUCGCCUGAAUAAUUCUGCAUGGAAUAAUGGAAUAGGACCUCGGUUCUAUUUUGUUGGUUUUCGGAACCCGAGGUAAUGGUUAAGAGGGACAGCCGGGGGCAAUCGUACUGCGGCGUGAGAGGUGAAAUUCUUGGACCGCC
rnacentral:rRNA from 1 species